GGGGUUGUGGCUCAGCAGUAGAGCGCUUGCCUAGCAUGUGUGAGGCCCUGGGUUCAAUUCUCAGUACCACUU
rnacentral:tRNA from 1 species